GGAGGUCGGAUCGCUGUGACGUGGGUGGUUCGCCGCCUGCGAUGCUGCGAGAAAGCCAUUGAACCUUAUCAUUUAGAGGAAGGAGAAGUCGUAACAAGGUUUCCGUAGGUGAACCUGCGGAAGGAUCAUUGACGAGACCCUUUCGAGAUAGAGCGAUUUGACAACUUGUGAUUACAUUUGCAGCUGAUUGAUGUUUGCUGCUCACCCGUCCAUCUGUUGCAUGAAUUCCCAAUGGGAGGAUGCAUUAGGCGGACGGGAGAUCAAUUCGGCGCAGAAUUGUGCCAAGGUAAAUAUGCAUCGUGAGCAGUAUCAACCAUAUCCUCUAAGCAGUUUGUUUCGCGGAAUGGUGUGUUGUUUGUUCAAAUGUAGGGCUCUCGGCAAUGGAUAUCUUGGCUCUCGCAUCGAUGAAGAGCGCAGCGAAAUGCGAUACGUGGUGCGAAUUGCAGAAUCCCGUGAACCAUCGAGUUUUUGAACGCAAGUUGCGCCCGAGGCCAGCUGGCCAAGGGCACGUCCGCCUGGGCGUCAAGCAUUGACUCGCUCCGUAAGCCACCCCAUGGUUUGAAGCUAUGCGGUUGGCUUAUCUUGGAUGCGGAGAAUGGCCCGUCAUGUGCUGAUGUGUGGCGGGCUGAAGAGUGGGAUGAUUCUCUCUUGGCUAAGACCGAUUAUUGGGUGGAUGGAAGGUCCAGUUGAUCCUCAUCAUCGUCUUGUCGCUUUGAGAAAGUUUUACAUAUCCCGGCAUAACCUAGCUCAAAUGUCAGUCGAAGAUAGUUGACAUGCGACCCCAGGAUGGGCGGGGUGACCCGCUGAGUUUAAGCAUAUCAAUAAGCGGAGGAGAAGAAACUUACAAGGAUUCCCCUAGU
rnacentral:rRNA from 1 species